AGUGAAGGUGGCUGAAUGCUGGCAUAAAUUAUCCAGAAUUGUGGAAUCUUCAUCCUUGAAGGCAUCAAAACCUGACUGGGAAUGGUGCUGUGCAACCUCCUCUAGCUGACCAUGCUUGAACAAGACAGUUGGGCUAGUAUUUUAAACAUAUUUUCUUCAGUGUGAAGUUCUGGCAAGAAUCAAGUUGCUGUUUGCUCAGUCAGCACUUGGGAAACUUUCUUCUAAAACUGAGGCAUCCUCCACUGAGAUUCCCAUCUGCUAAAAUUCUAUGGAGAAACACAUAACUGGGCAGCUCGAGAAUUUCAUCUGCACCGUGUGGAACUUGUUAAUCUAUUCCAGUAAAUUGAAACUCAAGACACUAAACUAGAGGAGUUUUGCCAAAACAGCAUUGGACCUCAAACAUCUGUGACAUAAAUACCAAUUAAUACUUUAGCUGGAACAAUCACAAGACUUUGCAGACUUCUAAAGCUUCUGUAGAUCAAUGAAAAACAAACAAACAAACAACAAAAAAAAUAAUAAAGCACAACAACAUAAGUCUCUUUCAGGAAAUUUUAAAGCCUAAUGUAUCUUUACAAAUUUCAGCAUUCUUUUGAAGUAUUUUAUCAUUAGGUCAGCAGGAAAUACAGCUUAUGGCUGUGCAUAAAGAUGAGUUGAACAUGAAAUGCCAUACUUCCUAAAGUCUUUGUGCUGUAAAAACUCAAAUCAUUAUAAUGGCUAAGUGAGCCAACUUACAUAACUUAAAGUCUUUAUUGUGUUGAAAUGAGAUAUUAUUUUGUUGGUAAAGUUCUCAUUGAUAUUUAUUUCCAGUACCAACAUGUUGUAAUGGGUUUACAUGGCAAGGUUUUGGUAGCAGGGGGCCAUAGGGGUGGUUUCUGUGAGAAGGAUCAAGAAGCUGCCCCAUGUUUGGGAAGGGCCCCACUGCUAACCAGAGCCGAGCCAAUAA